UGUGCCUUUAACCAAGAUAGGGUGGAAAACGUGACUUAUAUCAGGCAUAUGCUGUGCAUGCUCGGAGCAGUAAUGCUUUCAUUUACUGCUCAGAAUGUGCCAGACACAGUUUAGUAUUAACCACAUGGCUGUCACACACAAAUGCACAUGCAUGCAUGCAAGCCACAUUUGUGUGCAUGCACACGGUAUAGGUGCACACCCCUCACACACACACACGCGCGCGAAAAAUAGGAUGAGCUGAUCCCUUUCCUUAGAGUCUGCGUCAACCACCCGCUGCUCCCACCGCCACACUACGUAGACAACCAACCACAGGAUGUAUAAACCCAGCUGCCCAGAGGUCACCUUGGCUUGUUUACUUCACUGCAGUGGAUGCACAUUGGCAGAGUGGACCACCACCAUCCACAACAGCUCACCGACCAACACGUGUUCAGCUCUCAACUCUUACUGGAUCCUUAAUGAGGCUGUAUGGAAGCAUGGGGGCCCCUCAGCAGCCUAACACUACCCAGACACAGCAGAUGGGAAAGCCAUUAGGUGUAUACAAGCUCACACAACGCCUGCCGCCAAGGGUAUGCUUUUACACAGUCUGAGAAACCUUCAGAGCACCCACACAACUGCCUGUUAACAAGCCCAAACUGGCAAGAUUCUGCGAUGUGUACGACAG